UCAAAAAUUAAAGUGAUUUGUAACGUUACGUGUAUCGACUAUAACAUUAUGUACUGAAAAAUAUAUGGGGAAAUGUGAGAGUAAAAUGACAUGGGAGCAUUCAUUUCCAUGCUGUAAAGAUAUUACUACAGUACUCAAUUCGGAUCUUAUGCGGGUUAUAUUAUACUACAUUUAUGUGUGAAGUAUACAGAUGUAGUAAUAAAUGUUUUAUAUGUUACAUGUAACAGUUGCCAUGCAACAUCAUUGGAGGACAUGUAUAUACAAGGUUCAAUACCACAUGGGUGUCCACACCAUAUAUUUUCAUGCAUAUUUAUAAAUCAACUUAAAUUCAUCUCUUUAGUUAUUACACGAUAAUGGAAAUAUUAAAAUUUCUCUUUUGCCAAAUAAGAAGUAUAGAUUUAUACUAUUAUUCUGGGAUCAAAAAGAAUCAUAAAAUUAGGUCAUUACAUAUGAGCAAAAAUAAUUAGAGGAGGAUAAAAACAAAUUUUAGAGAUAAUAUCUUAUGCAAGAUUCUCAUAAUUAGAUUUAAUCACGAAGAAUAUUCUACUUGGCUUUUGUAUGCGAUUAGUCAUACUCGCGAUGAAACGUGAAUCGACUUGGAAACUAGGCUUGCGUUAAAAAUACGGAUGAUCGACGCCGUGGGCCGGCGCCGCAGAAAUAGAUCGAUGUCGCUAAUUAUCGGUGAUAAUUUCGCUACUCUGGGUAAUCUUUCUGCGAAAUCUGAUCCUCACACGUACGCACCUUGAACGGAUAAUAUUGCUGCUGCGACAUCUUGAUCUUCUAUCUCUCCUGUUGUCAGGAACAGGAAACUACCUAGCAAAACAGAAAAUCAACAACAAUGAAAUACAGUGGAUAUGCGUCAUCGGCUCGCUCACUAAUUAUCGGUUUUUGACGUGAGUCGGCGCGAUCACGAUUUCGCGACUCACGAUAAAUCUGUGACGAGAUCUGAUGCGGUGUCCCGGUCGACAAAAAUCCUAAGAAACCACAAAUGAUACUGUGAUCUACUUCGUCAAAAUAUAUAAAAUUAUUUUUCGCCACAUAAAAUAAAGGACGAAUUAUAUCUAUCUCCAUAGAUUAAUUUGAAUCUCGGAUCAACUUACUCUUCUUCUAAA
rnacentral:lncRNA from 13 species